rnacentral:rRNA from 1 species
UAUGUGAAGAAGGCCUGAGUGCGUUCGUAAGAGCACUUAUACUGCGAGCGAGGUCUGCUAACUGAUAGAUUCCGUCACCCUAAUGAGGAUACUUGGGCACGUCUGACUCCGACAGCUACUUAAGCCGACCAGGAGCUAAACGUCUGAUGACACAGCCAGNCACGCUGUGAUAAGUUACACGAAGAGGAUGACGACGCCGCUUCAAGUCAGGGACUAUUACCUCGGAGACAGAUACAAAGGCGAUUGCCGAUUAGAGCCGUGUCAUUCACUAUAAAGCUCCGCGAACUAGAUGAACACACUCCCACCCGGCAGGCCUCUAUACCUUUGCGGGCAACUUUGGCAAUCUCAGAAUUACCUUGGGAUGUACGCAUCAGAAAGCUACUCGUGCGAAGCAAGCGACUAGUGUAACGCACAAUUUCCCACGACGAUGAUAUGACCGUGUAGGCANACUUGCGAGUACAAAACGACUCAUAGAGAACGAGAAAAUUAACCAAGAAUAGUGCCUGAAAAGCGACAUGACCAAAUACUAGAGACACUAAAAAUUACCUUAGAACAGCAUAGAAGACGUCACCACAAACAAGCCAAUAGAGAGAGCAAGACAACAAACCAAAGAGAAUUAUAACGAACAUCAACCCACGUUGGAAUUAAGAUUACACAAUUAGACACAGGUAAAAAAACAGAAUGGAUACUAACAUAAAACCCCAAUAUGAGGAAAAGCCAAUANAGACGAGCAAUUUUAAGAUAGAGCCGCCAAGGCUUUAAAACGACAGAAAUCCAAAGUAAGGAACACCGACACAUUGAAGGAGGAAGAUUAAACGAGUGCCGACAACAAGAAAACUUUAACAUAGAUUUACCAAACAUUGGAAAUUAUGAACCACAGAAGAGGCCCAUGGCAACNCAAAGGCGCGUAGAGAAAGCAAUU